CAAACAGAACGUCAACACGACGCAGCUACCGCCAAGCACAGUGUAUUUCAGUAUCUGAUGGAGCAAAGUGUCCGCAACACGAACAAGAGGACCCCGACAACCGUCAGAAAGUGCCCGCCUGUCCAAGAAACAUUGAAGUUUCUCGUCCAGUCGACAAUGAAUUCACUGGGACGAAACGAUGAGAAGAACUGGCAGGAAUCAGUACCUGACGACAGGAAGAGUGUCAGUCAGUUUUUGAGCAAGAACUAUGUGAUGCGGGAGUACAUACGGAACUGCAUACCGAGGGCAAAUAUUUACCGCUAAGAAACGCAAAACUCCUCUGGCUUCUCUACAGUAAAAGGUACCACGGGACUAUAAUACGACGAGAAGACUCGCACACUGCAGAACUUCGUCGUGGAUACACUUCAUUCUGGACAGAUCAACAGUGACUCCUCGGAUGGGGGGCUUAACGAUGACUGAAAUCAUUUUAAAAAUCAGAAAUUCUAGUCCACGAUUGAAUAAAUA